rnacentral:rRNA from 1 species
CGCUGGCGGCGCGCCUAACACAUGCAAGUCGAACGGAGCUGCACUUCUGAAGUUUCGGAUGGACGAGGUACAAGCUUAGUGGCGAACGGGUGAGUAACACGUGAAGAACCUGCCCUUCAGUGGGGGACAACAGUUGGAAACGACCGCUAAUACCGCAUAAGACCACAGUACCGCAUGGUACAGUGAUCAAAGGAUUUAUUCGCUGAAGGAUGGCUUCGCGUCCGAUUAGGUAGUUGGUGAGGUAACGGCCCACCAAGCCUACGAUCGGUAGCCGGACUGAGAGGUUGAUCGGCCACAUUGGGACUGAGACACGGCCCAGACUCCUACGGGAGGCAGCAGUGGGGAAUAUUGCACAAUGGAGGAAACUCUGAUGCCAGCGACGCCGCGUGAGGGAAGAAGGUCUUCGGAUUGUAAACCUCUGUCUUCAGGGACGAUAAUGACGGUACCUGAGGAGGAAGCACCGGCUAACUACGUGCCAGCAGCGGC